CCCUUAGAUGUUCUGGGCCGCACGCGCGCUACACUGACGAAUGCAACGAGCUUAUAACCUUGGCCGAAAGGUCUGGGUAAUCUCCAAAUUUCGUCGUGAUGGGGAUAGAUUAUUGCAAUUAUUAAUCUUCAACGAGGAAUGCCUAGUAAGCGCGAGUCAUCAGCUUGCGUUGAUUACGUCCCUGCCCUUUGUACACACCGCCCGUCGCUCCUACCGAUUGAAUGGUCCGGUGAAGCGCUCGGACCGCGGCCUCUUGACGGUUUUCCGUCGAUUGGCUGUGGGAAGUUCGUUAAACCUUAUCAUUUAGAGGAAGGAGAAGUCGUAACA
rnacentral:rRNA from 1 species